rnacentral:rRNA from 1 species
GAUUCUGGCUCAGGAUGAACGCUAGCGACAGGCUUAACACAUACAAGUCGAGGGGCAGCAUGGGAGGUGGCGACACCACCCGAUGGCGACCGGCGCACUGGUGAGUAACACGUAUGCAACCUGCCUCCUCCAGGGGGAUAACCCAGAGAAAUUUGGCCUAAUACCCCAUAGUCCGCGAGAGGGCAUCCUCUUGCGGGGAAAGCCCCGGCGGGAGGAGAUGGGCAUGCGGCGCAUUAGCUUGUUGGCGGGCGACGGCCCACCAAGGCAACGAUGCGUAGGGGUUCUGAGAGGAAGGUCCCCCACACUGGUACUGAGACACGGACCAGACUCCUACGGGAGGCAGCAGUGAGGAAUAUUGGUCAAUGGGCGCAGGCCUGAACCAGCCAAGUCGCGUGCGGGAAGACGGCCCUACGGGUUGUAAACCGCUUUAGCCGGGGAGUAACGUGCGGCACGCGUGCCGCCUUGAGAGUACCCGGAGAAUAAGCAUCGGCUAACUCCGUGCCAGCAGCAGC